GAUGAAGAACGCAGCGAAAUGCGAUAAGUAGUGUGAAUUGCAGAAUUCAGUGAUUCAUCGAAUCUUUGAACGCACAUUGCGCCCCUUGGUAUCCCGAGGGGCAUGCCUGUUCGAGCGUCAUUUCACCACUCAAGCCUGGCUUGGUGUUGGGCGACGUCCUCUUUGGGGACGCGCCUCGAAACGCUCGGCGGCGUGGCACCGGCUUUAAGCGUAGCAGAAUCUUUCGCUUUGGAAGUCGGGGCCCCGUCUGCCGGAAGACCUGCUCGCAAGGUUGACCUCGGAUCAGGCAGGGAUACCCGCUGAACUUAAGCAUAUCAAUAAGCGGAGGA
rnacentral:misc_RNA from 1 species